rnacentral:rRNA from 1 species
GGGGAAUAUUGCACAAUGGGCGCAAGCCUGAUGCAGCAACGCCGCGUGAGGGAUGACGGCCUUCGGGUUGUAAACCUCUUUUAGUAGGGAAGAAGCCUUCGGGUGACGGUACCUGCAGAAAAAGCACCGGCUAACUACGUGCCAGCAGCCGCGGUAAUACGUAGGGUGCAAGCGUUGUCCGGAAUUAUUGGGCGUAAAGAGCUCGUAGGCGGCUUGUCGCGUCUGCUGUGAAAUCCCGGAGCUCAACUCCGGGCCUGCAGUGGGUACGGGCAAGCUAGAGUGCGGUAGGGGAGAUUGGAAUUCCUGGUGUAGCGGUGGAAUGCGCAGAUAUCAGGAGGAACACCGAUGGCGAAGGCAGAUCUCUGGGCCGUAACUGACGCUGAGGAGCGAAAGCAUGGGGAGCGAAC